rnacentral:rRNA from 1 species
UACGUAGGGGGCGAGCGUUGUCCGGAUUUAUUGGGCGUAAAGAGCUCGUAGGCGGUUCGGUAAGUCGGAUGUGAAAACUCCAGGCUCAACUUGGAGACGCCAUUCGAUACUGCGAUGCCUUGAGUCCGGUAGGGGAGUGUGGAAUUCCUGGUGUAGCGGUGAAAUGCGCAGAUAUCAGGAGGAACACCGGCGGCGAAGGCGGCACUCUGGGCCGGUACUGACGCUGAGGAGCGAAAGCGUGGGUAGCAAACAGG